UACGGAGGGGACUAGCGUUGUUCGGAAUUACUGGGCGUAAAGCGCACGUAGGCGGAUUGUUUAGUCAGGGGUGAAAUCCCGAGGCUCAACCUCGGAACUGCCUUUGAUACUGGCAAUCUCGAGUCCGGAAGAGGUGAGUGGAAUUCCUAGUGUAGAGGUGAAAUUCGCAGAUAUCAGGAGGAACACCCAUAGCGAAGGCAGCUUGCUGGGACGUUACUGACGCUAAGGCGCGAAAGCGUGGGGAGCGAACAGG
rnacentral:rRNA from 1 species